GUCUACGGCUUACCACCCUAAACACGCCCAAUCUCAUCUGGUCUCAGAAGCUAAGCAGGGUUGGGCCUGGUUAGUGCUUGGAUGGAAGACA
rnacentral:rRNA from 1 species